rnacentral:rRNA from 1 species
CCAAACACUGAGGCGUGAUGACGAGGCACUACGGUGCUGAAGUGGUUGAUGCCAUGCUUCCAAGAAAAGUCCCUAAGCUUCAGGUUAGUGCUGACCGUACCCCAAACCGACACAGGUGGGCUGGAUGAGAAUUCCAAGGCGCUUGAGAGAACUCGGAUGAAGGAACUAGGCAAAAUGGUACCGUAACUUCGGGAGAAGGUACGCCCCUGACGGUGUUAAAGCUGUUGGGGGCCCCAGAGACCAGGCCGCUGCGACUGUUUAUCAAAAACACAGCACUCUGCAAACACGAAAGUGGACGUAUAGGGUGUGACGCCUGCCCGGUGCCGGAAGGUUAAUUGAUGGGGUUAGCGCAAGCGAAGCUCUUGAUCGAAGCCCCGGUAAACGGCGGCCGUAACAAUAACGGUCCUAAGGUAGCGAAAUUCCUUGUCGGGUAAGUUCCGACCUGCACGAAUGGCGUAACGAUGGCGGCACUGUCUCCAUCCGAGACUCAGUGAAAUUGAAAUCGCUGUGAAGAUGCAGUGUACCCGCGGCUAGACGGAAAGACCCCGUGAACCUUUACUGUAGCUUUGCACUGAACAUUGAACUUGCUUGUGUAGGAUAGGUGGGAGACUAUGAAACCGGGACGCCAGUUCUGGUGGAGUCAUCCUUGAAAUACCACCCUGGCAAUUUUGAUGUUCUAACCUCGACAUAACAGUGUCAGGGACAGUGCAUGGUGGGCAGUUUGACUGGGGCGGUCUCCUCCCAAAGAGUAACGGAGGAGCGCGAAGGUGUGCUAAUCUCGGUCGGAAAUCGAGAGGUUUGUGUAAAGGCAUAAGCACACUUGACUGCGAGACAGACAAGUCGAGCAGGUACGAAAGUAGGUCUUAGUGAUCCGGUGGCUCUGAAUGGAAGGGCCAUCGCUCAACGGAUAAAAGGUACUCCGGGGAUAACAGGCUGAUUCCUCCCAAGAGUCCAUAUCGACGGGGGAGUUUGGCACCUCGAUGUCGGCUCAUCGCAUCCUGGGGCUGAAGCAGGUCCCAAGGGUAUGGCUGUUCGCCAUUUAAAGCGGUACGCGAGCUGGGUUCAGAACGUCGUGAGACAGUUCGGUCCCUAUCUGCCGUGGGCGUUGGAGAUUUGAGGGAAGCUGACCUUAGUACGAGAGGACCGGGUUGGACGAACCUCUGGUGUUCCUGUUGUCACGCCAGUGGCAUUGCAGGGUAGCUAUGUUCGGACGGGAUAACCGCUGAAAGCAUCUAAGCGGGAAGCCCCUCCCAAGAUGAGAUCUCCCUAACCCCUAGAGGGUUCUAAAGGGCCGUUGGAGACUACGACGUUGAUAGGCUGGGUGUGGAAGUGCGGUAACGCAUGUAGCUAACCAGUACUAAUUGCCCGUGAGGCUUGAUC